rnacentral:miRNA from 1 species
GUCCGGCCGGUUACAGGAAACAGAAACUCCUGUUCAGCGGAGUUUCUGUUUCCUGUAACCGGCCGGAC